GAACUGUGAUCUCGAUCAACUUAUAAUAAAAACUAAUUAUUAUAAUUUGUAUAUAUCGGGGGAUCGUGAAGAUUUUAUCGGAGAGUUUUUGCACUCGAAAGGGUUAAGAUGAAUAUUAAAUAAUCGGACAUAGAAUGCUAAGGUUGUAUGUCUAAAGGGAAACAGCCCUAAACAAGAGUUAAUAAGGUUCCAAAAUUAUUGUUGAGUGAAAUAAAGGUUGUACCUUCGAAUACAAUCAGGUAAUAGGCUUAGAAGCGGCCAUUUGCUGACGAUCUCGUAACAGAGCACUGAUUUUAAACAAAAAAAGUUUAAUUAGAAGAUCAAACCUAAAAUUUAUCGGAUCUAAAUAAUAUACCGAAACCUUGUCCAUGUUUAUAAAUAUAUGUUAUAUAUUAUAAAUAUGGGGUAGCAGAACAUUGGAUUGAGUUUUAGAUUNGUAUUCUUUAUAAGAAUAAAAAAAUUAAUAAAUUCCAAGAGAUAAUGCUGAUAUGAGUAACGAAAAAGAAUAACACUCGCCUAAAGCUUAUGGAAUUUAAUUUUACGGUCUCUAAGUUUAAGUAAGUGUUGUUGGGACCAUGUCCUUGGACCUUAUUUCAAGUUAAAGUAAACUCAUAAAUUAUUACCAUGGACCUUUUUUGUUUAAAGAGACUUUACAACAACACAACACGAUGAUGAGUAAAAGAAAAGAAAGGAAGACGAAUAUGAUAAGUAAAACUUUUUAGAUUAGUGUAAUUAGUUCAGGAAAACUUAGAUAGUAGUCGUAUGUCUGCGUCCAAUCUUUUACUACCGUACCUAGAAUCUACCACACAGUAAGCUAGUAGAGAAUACGAA
rnacentral:rRNA from 1 species